GCCCCCAGCCUGUAAAACUCUGGGAUCCUGACUCGCCUGUAGGAGUCAGUAAGAUCCUCCUCUCAUUCCCCAAACUUCCUUUCCUUUUUGUUCAAUAAAAACCUCUGAAUAACGGUCACGGUGAGUCAGGGGCGGCCGGGAAGCAGGACGUCCCGGACACUUUGUUCAAGUAAAGACGCAGGAAAGAAACGCUGAGCUUUCCGAACCACAGGACCGUUCUGGGCUGAAGUUCCCUGGAAGUGAUUUCAUUUCCCCCGCCUCGGCUGGCCGCCUCUCCCCCUGCCGCUGGACUGUUCGCGGCCCCCGAAGAACAAGAAGACGUGAACCAGACUGUCAAAGUCUCGCCGCCGGGCCUGAUCCCGAUCCCGCUGGUUGCUGACCACAUCUGUGCCGAGUUGGGAGCAGCUGACGUCUGAGGUGCUGGCAGCCUCUCCUCCUGCCUCCUCCGUCUCCAGGGAAAGG